UGAGAUCACGCCUAUAUUCGC
rnacentral:miRNA from 1 species